CCCUUAGAUGUUCUGGGCUGCACGCGCGCUACACUGAUGCGCUCAACGAGUUUUAACCUUGCCUGGAAAGGUUGGGUAAUCUUUUUAAAACGCAUCGUGAUGGGGAUAGAUUAUUGCAAUUAUUAAUCUUCAACGAGGAAUUCCUAGUAAGCGCGAGUCAUAAGCUCGCGUUGAUUACGUCCCUGCCCUUUGUACACACCGCCCGUCGCUACUACCGAUUGGAUGGUUUAGUGAGAUCCUCGGAUUGGUCACGGCACGGUGGCAACACUGCGUCGGUGUGCCGAGAAGACGAUCAAACUUGAUCAUCUAGAGGAAGUAAAAGUCGUAACA
rnacentral:rRNA from 1 species